CUUGGCUCAAAGGACAAAUGAAGAAAAUGAUGCUAGAUGGAUUAGAAUGAAGGAAUGCUCUGAAAAUACCACUAGA
rnacentral:lncRNA from 1 species